rnacentral:rRNA from 1 species
UACAGAGGGUGCAAGCGUUGUUCGGAAUUAUUGGGCGUAAAGCGCGUGUAGGCGGCUUUGCAAGUCGGGUGUGAAAGCCCUCGGCUCAACCGAGGAAGUGCGCCCGAAACUGCAGAGCUUGAGUACCGGAGAGGAUGGCGGAAUUCCCCAAGUAGAGGUGAAAUUCGUAGAUAUGGGGAGGAACACCGAUGGCGAAGGCGGCCAUCUGGACGGAUACUGACGCUGAGACGCGAAAGCGUGGGGAGCAAACAGGG